GGCUCUCAAAAGAACAGACCUCUGCGGUGCAGCCAAUAGGAAGAGGAGGUGAAGGAAAGACGGUUUCAGCUGUACCUCUGGAGUAUCUGGAGAUUAAAGUCAGCAAUGCAGGUGGUCAACCAUGUCAAUAUGAGCUGAGUCCCAAUAAAAAUUCUGGACACCAUGGUUCAAACAACUACUUUAGAACUGUGGUGUUGGAGAAGACUCUUGAGAGCCCCUUGGACUGCAA